AACGAACGCUGGCGGCAUGCCUAACACAUGCAAGUCGAACGAGAUCUUCGGGUCUAGUGGCGCACGGGUGCGUAACGCGUGGGAAUCUGCCCUUUGGUUCGGAGUAACAGUUGGAAACGACUGCUAAUACCGGAUGAUGACGAAAGUCCAAAGAUUUAUCGCCAGAGGAUGAGCCCGCGUAGGAUUAGCUAGUUGGUGUGGUAAAGGCGCACCAAGGCGACGAUCCUUAGCUGGUCUGAGAGGAUGAUCAGCCACACUGGGACUGAGACACGGCCCAGACGCCUACGGGAGGCAGCAGUGGGGAAUAUUGGACAAUGGGCGAAAGCCUGAUCCAGCAAUGCCGCGUGAGUGAUGAAGGCCUUAGGGUUGUAAAGCUCUUUUACCCGGGAUGAUAAUGACAGUACCGGGAGAAUAAGCUCCGGCUAACUCCGUGCCAGCCGCCGCCGUAA
rnacentral:rRNA from 1 species